CUACGGGCGGCUGCAGUGGGGAAUAUUGCACAAUGGGCGCAAGCCUGAUGCAGCCAUGCCGCGUGUGUGAAGAAGGCCUUCGGGUUGUAAAGCACUUUCAGCGGGGAGGAAGGCGUUAAGGUUAAUAACCUUGGCGAUUGACGUUACCCGCAGAAGAAGCACCGGCUAACUCCGUGCCAGCAGCCGCGGUAAUACGGAGGGUGCAAGCGUUAAUCGGAAUUACUGGGCGUAAAGCGCACGCAGGCGGUCUGUCAAGUCGGAUGUGAAAUCCCCGGGCUCAACCUGGGAACUGCAUUCGAAACUGGCAGGCUAGAGUCUUGUAGAGGGGGGUAGAAUUCCAGGUGUAGCGGUGAAAUGCGUAGAGAUCUGGAGGAAUACCGGUGGCGAAGGCGGCCCCCUGGACAAAGACUGACGCUCAGGUGCGAAAGCGUGGGAGCAAACAGGAUUAGAUACCCGUGUAGUC
rnacentral:rRNA from 1 species